rnacentral:rRNA from 1 species
CCUACGGGAGGCUGCAGUGAGGAAUAUUGGUCAAUGGACGCAAGUCUGAACCAGCCAUGCCGCGUGCAGGAAGACGGCUCUAUGAGUUGUAAACUGCUUUUGUAUGAGGGCAAACGGCGAUACGCGUAUCUCUCUGAAAGUAUCGUACGAACAAGGAUCGGCCAACUCCGUGCCAGCAGCCGCGGUAAUACGGAGGAGUCAACCGUUAUCCGGAUUGAUUGGGUUUAAAGGGGGCGUAGGCGGUCGGGUAAGUUAGGGGUGAAAUCCCGGGGCUCAACUUCGGAACUGCCUUCGAUACUGGUAGGCUAGAGGGUGGUAGGGGUAGGAGGAAUGUCAGGUGUAGCGGUGAAAUGCUUAGAGAUCAUACAGAACACCGAUUGCGAAGGCAGCUUACCAGGCAACGACUGACGUUGAGGCACGAAAGCGUGGGGAGCAAACAGGAUUAGAUACCCCGGUAGUC